CCUACGGGAGGCAGCAGUGGGGAAUCUUCCACAAUGGACGAAAGUCUGAUGGAGCAACGCCGCGUGAGUGAAGAAGGUUCUCGGAUCGUAAAACUCUGUUGUGAGGGAAGAACAAGUACCGGAGUAACUGCCGGUACCUUGACGGUACCUCAUUAGAAAGCCACGGCUAACUACGUGCCAGCAGCCGCGGUAAU
rnacentral:rRNA from 1 species